GCUUUUAUAAUUUAAUAUAAAAUAUUGGUCUUGUAAACCAAAUAUAAGUCUAACUUUAAAAGCU
rnacentral:tRNA from 1 species